rnacentral:rRNA from 1 species
AUCCUGGCUCAGGACGAACGCUGGCGGGGGGCGGGAUACAUGCAAGUCGAGCGGACAGAUGGGAGCUUGCUCCCUGAUGUUAGCGGCGGACGGGUGAGUAACACGUGGGUAACCUGCCUGUAAGACUGGGAUAACUCCGGGAAACCGGGGCUAAUACCGGAUGCUUGAUUGAACCGCAUGGUUCAAUUAUAAAAGGUGGCUUUUAGCUACCACUUACAGAUGGACCCGCGGCGCAUUAGCUAGUUGGUGAGGUAACGGCUCACCAAGGCGACGAUGCGUAGCCGACCUGAGAGGGUGAUCGGCCACACUGGGACUGAGACACGGCCCAGACUCCUACGGGAGGCAGCAGUAGGGAAUCUUCCGCAAUGGACGAAAGUCUGACGGAGCAACGCCGCGUGAGUGAUGAAGGUUUUCGGAUCGUAAAACUCUGUUGUUAGGGAAGAACAAGUACCGUUCGAAUAGGGCGGUACCUUGACGGUACCUAA